rnacentral:rRNA from 1 species
AGCGAACGCUGGCGGCAGGCCUAACACAUGCAAGUCGAACGAUCCUUCGGGAUAGUGGCGGACGGGUGAGUAACACGUGGGAACGUGCCCUUUGGUUCGGAACAACUCAGGGAAACUUGAGCUAAUACCGAAUGUGCCCUUCGGGGGAAAGAUUUAUCGCCAUUGGAGCGGCCCGCGUCUGAUUAGCUAGUUGGUGAGGUAACGGCUCACCAAGGCGACGAUCAGUAGCUGGUCUGAGAGGAUGAUCAGCCACACUGGGACUGAGACACGGCCCAAGCUCCUACGGGAGGCAGCUGUGGGGAAUCUUGCGCAAUGGCGAAAGCCUGACGCAGCCAUGCCGCGUGAAUGAUGAAGGCCUUAGGGUUGUAAAGCUCUUUCAGUGGGGAAGAUAAUGACUGUACCCACAGAAGAAGCCCCGGCUAACUCCGUGCCAGCCGCCGCGGUAACAC